GAUGAACGCUGGCGGCGUGCCUAAUACAUGCAAGUCGAGCGAACAGAUGAGGAGCUUGCUCCUCUGACGUUAGCGGCGGACGGGUGAGUAACACGUGGAUAACCUACCUAUAAGACUGGGAUAACUUCGGGAAACCGGAGCUAAUACCGGAUAAUAUAUUGAACCGCAUGGUUCAAUAGUGAAAGACGGUUUUGCUGUCACUUAUAGAUGGAUCCGCGCCGCAUUAGCUAGUUGGUAAGGUAACGGCUUACCAAGGCAACGAUGCGUAGCCGACCUGAGAGGGUGAUCGGCCACACUGGAACUGAGACACGGUCCAGACUCCCACGGGAGGCAGCAGUAGGGAAUCUUCCGCAAUGGGCGAAAGCCUGACGGAGCAACGCCGCGUGAGUGAUGAAGGUCUUCGGAUCGUAAAACUCUGUUAUUAGGGAAGAACAAAUGUGUAAGUAACUAUACACGUCUUGACGGUACCUAAUCAGAAAGCCACGGCUAACUACGUG
rnacentral:rRNA from 1 species